CGAGCAGUAGCUCAGUGGUACAGCUUUCGCCUCGUACGCGGGAAGGUCUGGAGGUUCGAUUCCUGGCUGCUUAC
rnacentral:tRNA from 1 species